rnacentral:rRNA from 1 species
GCCGCGGUAAUACGGAGUGUGCAAGCGUUGUCCGGAUUUAUUGGGUUUAAAGGGUGCGUAGGCGGCUUAUUAAGUCAGUGGUGAAAGCCAACAGCUCAACUGUUGAACUGCCAUUGAUACUGCUAGGCUUGAGUACAGAUGCUGUGGGCGGAAUAUGACAUGUAGUGGUGAAAUACAUAGAGAUGUCAUAGAACACCGAUUGCGAAGGCAGCUCACAAAACUGUAACUGACGCUGAGGCACGAAAGUGCGGGGAUCAAACAG